GGGGAAUUAGCUCAAAUGGUAGAGCACUUGCUUUGCAUGUGAAAGGCAGUAGGAGCGAUAUCCACAUUUUCCA
rnacentral:tRNA from 1 species